GCUCUGAAUGUGGAGGUGCAAACAGUUAAACUUAAAACUCAUUCGAAGUCGAAGUCAUGUUGAUGUUUUACAUUUAAGGACUACAGAGAGCCAGGUAAAGUAUUAUUCAUCAUCUGUAUUUAAUUUAAAUAUGUGGAAUUAAUGUCUAAAUACUGUAUUUGGGUAUAAAACAAAUCAGCACAUAUUUAAUUGACAAAGGUUUGGAGGCAAUGUGGUAAGAAUCCAUGCAUGUGGUUGUUCUACUCUAUAUUACAAUGCACAUUACACAUACAUCCAUAUAAAUUGGUUACAGAUACAUUGAACCACCAACUAAAAACAUUUAGCCAAAAGCAAACUCAUGUUCCCUCUACACCAGGGGUGUCACACUCAAGUUUCAGAGAGGGCCAAAAUUAAGAAAUGGUACUGAGUGCCAAACAGUCUCAUAGUGCUGUCUUAAUAUUAUUAUUAUGGACACGCCAGCUCCACUUUUGAGGCAAACUGGAUAUAAUUGUACCACGGCCAGAUGUAGCCCACAGAGUUUGAGUUUGACAUGCCUGCUCUACACCAUAUGUGAUCAUUUUAAAUAUAUUUGUUUUAACUUAAGAGACUCGUAGUGAAUUUGUGUUUUAAUACAGGUAAAUGCAGAAUUCACCCUCAUCACCACAGUCCCCCUGUUCUCAACCUUUAUGUCCCGACUGGAUCAUUACUAUAGCCAGCUAUUGAGGGUAUUCAAAAAGAAGGGGGGAACAGCAAGACGUGAUAUCGACGUAAUCAUUGCAGAAAUGGACAUGAAUCCCAGUGUUGAAGUACGACAGACAUGCAUCCUAAAGGCGUUGUGCGUCUACUUAAAUGAAAAGCCUGACAGCCUUAUUAAGGAGUACUGGGUAAGUCGCAUUCUUUGUCAAUCAUAAACAAAUUGAUACAGAAAAUAUGUAUUUUUUUUAUAUUUUAAUUUCACAAACCUGUGAAUUGAAAUGUGUUGUAGGCUCAGAACAUGCAUGUUAUGCUAUAUUGAUUUUUGCCAAUGUUGGCAAUAUAUCAAUUUUUCAAAAAAAAAUUUAUAUGAUGAUUGAUCAACCAAAAACAUAAUGGACAACAAUUUCUACAUUAAUGUAUAACAUUUUGUAAAGUUAAGCCAAAGAAAUACAAAUCUGUCUUAUUUAAACACAGGCAAAAUAAUAAGCAAAUAUACUUCUUGGGAAUGAGUAUUGUGUUCUCUAAUUGUAAACUUAACAUCCUUUGGGUUUGUUUCUAGUGUCAUAGAUGCAUAAUUAAUAAUGGGUCUCUUUCUUUGUCAUAGGCUACUGAGGAUAUUGGUAUUGAUGCAAUGACAGAAAUGGAGAGACUGGCUUUGGGUGUCUACAUUGUUCGAUAUGAUGGAGCAGAUGCUUCAGAUCCACCUGAGGAUGUUGGCGUCGUCAUUGAAGGCUGCACAGUGCUGCGAGAUCUGAGAGAGGUUGCAAAUGGAUGUGCAGUCCUGUUUGGCUUGAUCUAGUGUUUAAACUUGAGCUAUCCCAAGGAGCUGCGAUACACUUUCGAAUUUCUUCAGAAAGUGUCUAUGGAAUUGGAUGGGAACAAGCUCUCCACUAAAGUGCAGGUCCUCAAAAACAAACUGCAUGAGUAAAAUCACCUGCACCAGACAAGACUGGACCUGGCUUUGGACACUUUAAUUGUGUUGACUGUUACUUUAUUUUUGGACUGCUGCUAGACAAAAUAAAGCUGUGAUCAAUGAUGGUUUGUAAUAAGCA
ensembl:lncRNA